UAUUAACUUAUGGAUAUUGGUGUCUCCUAGAUUUGUUAGGUGUCGCUUGGGAUCCUACAAAUCUUGUGGAGUUAAACUAAGAAGUUUGUGCGGGCAAGGAGAUCACCUACUUCCUAAUGAUCUAUCUCGAGUCAGGGUAGUCAUUCGUGGACGUAAGCCAUGAUUGAAUAAACAAGGUUGCUUCUUUAUGGACCCUUAAUGGGUGGAGCCCUCCACCUCCCUCCCUCCCUCUCUCCCUCGCCAUCUCUCCAUAUCCAUCUCCAUCUC
rnacentral:lncRNA from 1 species